AGGCAACCUGCCACGUGGGGCUGGAGGCUGGGGUUGGGGCAUCAGCAGUGAGGAUGGAGAAGCAGAGACUAACAGCCGGUGAUGGGGUCCAGCUCAGAGGCAUCCUCCAAACUCCGGAAGCUUCCGCUACCUGCCUCUGAAGUGUCUUCUAAAGGGCGCCCCGCCCUCCUGCAGGCUCCCACCUCCCAGCUCUGACCCCAACUGCCUCUCCACAAGACACACACUCUUCCCCCUCGGCCGCCCCCGCCGGAACUUCCGUUCGAGUCCCGGGAACCCAGCCAUCGCGCUGCCGGAAGUAGCCUGGCCAGCAGUACGGAACCCGGAAGCGGGUCCGGGUUUCCCGGCUAGAAGCUGCCAUGUUGCCCACAGUGGGACCACUCCCUGUGAUGCGACGCUGUCACCUGCAGCGUCUGGACAUGACAUGAGAUUUCCAGAUGCCUGCCAGCCAAGCCCUUCUAGCCGACCUGCGUCCUGGAGGAGAGGCAUGCCACUUCCCAUCCCCAUAGGGCAGGGCACACUUCCAGGUGUCGUCUUGGGUAUUAACCACUGUUUGGUUUUAUUAAGAUACAUUUUACUGCC